rnacentral:misc_RNA from 1 species
GAUGAAGAACGCAGCGAAAUGCGAUAAGUAAUGUGAAUUGCAGAAUUCAGUGGAUCAUCGAAUCUUUGAACGCACAUUGCGCCCGCCAGUAUUCUGGCGGGCAUGCCUGUUCGAGCGUCAUUUCAACCAUCAAGCCCCGGGCUUGUGUUGGGGACCUGCGGCUGCCGCAGGCCCUGAAAUGCAGUGGCGGGCUCGCUGUCACUCCGAGCGUAGUAGUUACAUCUCGCUCUGGGCGUGCUGCGGGUUCCGGCCGUUAAAAGCCUUAUUUACCCAAGGUUGACCUCGGAUCAGGUAGGAAGACCCGCUGAACUUAAGCAUAUCAAUAAGCGGAGGA